UUCCGAGUACUGGACACUAAUGCACUGAAUUUAUAGUUAUAGUACAACAACUUUAUCCUAUUUUAUCCUUGCUAGAUUUUAAGUGAGAGAUUAAAAAAAAAGUACCAUUAAAAAGGAAGUCGGAUUUUCCUUUCACAUAACAAAGUCCGUGAAAAAGGGAUGGUAGUAACAAAGUCAAUCAUGAGUAAUUAUAGAGGAGGAAGCACUACGUAGAUGUUUGGUUCAUGGUGAACGGCAAUCUGCAUUGCAGACCUGUGUAUUAGAGUUAGGUUAAGGAGUUAAGGGGUCAAUGGGUCAUGUAAUCUCGUGAACCGGGUAAUUAAUUCCUUGAAUGACCAAUUUCCGUCAACAAUCCAACACCCUUGUAAGUAAUUAAAAAUUAGGGUUUUAUAUCAAACUGCCCACCCAUUUCGUCAAAAAAUCUCACCUGACCCACCCAAAAAAUUUUGGACUCAUGUAAACCACUAUAAACAAAAUAUAUAUCAUCACUAUUUAUAGCUCUUUACUUAAACAUUUAUAAAAAAUCAACCGUUUGUUUUUUUACUACAAAACCACUUCGAGUACUUUGAUAAUAGUCCCUAGUAUUUAUCAAAAUAAUUUGGGAAUUCCUAAAGCAACAUAGCUAGGAUGAUCAUAUAACUAUAUCUGUAACUAUAUAUUUUAUUUAACUACAUGGCUAUAUUGCUUUAGAAAUUCCCAAAUUAUUUUAAUAAAUACCAGAAACUAUUAUGAAAGUACUCGAAGUGGUUUUGUAGUAAAAAAAUAAACGGUUAAUUUUUUAUAAAUAAUUAAGUAAAAAGGUAUGAAUAAUGAAGUGGUUAAAAUGAUAUAUAUUUGGUUUGUAGUGGCUUAAAUGAGUCCGAAAUUUUUUGGGUGGGUCAAGUGAGAUUUUUUGACGAAAUGGGUGGCCAGUUUGAUAUAAAACCCUUAAAAAUUAAGUCCCUAAAAGGUUUACAGGCUUAUUCAAGUUUCAACAAAAUAUAUUUUUUAAC
rnacentral:lncRNA from 1 species